GAUGAACGCUGGCGGCGUGCCUAAUACAUGCAAGUCGAGCGAACAGAUGAGGAGCUUGCUCCUCUGACGUUAGCGGCGGACGGGUGAGUAACACGUGGAUAACCUACCUAUAAGACUGGGAUAACUUCGGGAAACCGGAGCUAAUACCGGAUAAUAUAUUGAACCGCAUGGUUCAAUAGUGAAAGACGGUUUUGCUGUCACUUAUAGAUGGAUCCGCGCCGCAUUAGCUAGUUGGUAAGGUAACGGCUUACCAAAGCAACGAUGCGUAGCCGACCUGAGAGGGUGAUCGGCCACACUGGAACUGAGACACGGUCCAGACUCCUACGGGAGGCAGCAGUAGGGAAUCCUCCGCAAUGGGCGAAAGCCUGACGGAGCAACGCCGCGUGAGUGAUGAAGGUCUUCGGAUCGUAAAACUCUGUUAUUAGGGAAGAACAAAUGUGUAAGUAACUAUGCACGUCUUGACGGUACCUAAUCAGAAAGCCACGGCUAACUACGUG
rnacentral:rRNA from 1 species